GACGAAGGUGGCAAGCGUUACUCGGAAUUACUAGGUGUAAAGCGUGGGCAGGUGGUUUGGUAAGUCUGCUGUGAAAGCUCCUGGCUUAACUGGGAGAGGCCAGUGGAUACUGCCAGGCUUGAAUAUGGGAGAGGUGACUGGAAUUCCUGGUGUAGCGGUGAAAUGCGUAGAGAUCAGGAGGAACAUCGAUGGCGAAAGCAGGUCACUGGACCAUUAUUGACACUCAUCCACGAAAGCUGGGGGAUCAAACAGG
rnacentral:rRNA from 1 species